rnacentral:tRNA from 4 species
GUUAAUGUAGCUUAACACCUAAAGCAAGACACUGAAAAUGUCUAGAUGGGUAUUAUUACCCCAUAAACA